NNNNNNNNNNNNNNNNNNNNNNNNNNNNNNNNNUAAGCAUAUAAGUAAGCGGAGGAUAAGAAACUAAAUAGGAUUCCCUCAGUAAUGGCGAAUGAACAGGGAUAAGCUCAGCAUGGAAAUCGGUGUCUCUGGCAUUGAAUUGUAGUCUCGAGUUGUACUGCCAACGGAGGCGCAGAUGUAAGCCUCUUGGAAAAGAGCAUCAACGAGGGUGAGAGUCCCGUUUGUCAUCUGCAGUCCCCCGUGCACGGUGUACUUCUAAAGAGUCACGUUCCUCGGAAAUGGAGCGCAAAGUGGGUGGUAAAUUUCAUCUAAAGCUAAAUAUAGGUUCGAGACCGAUAGCAAACAAGUACCAUGAGGGAAAGGUGAAAAGGACUUUGAAAAGAGAGUUAAAAGUGCCUGAAAUUGCUGAAAGGGAAGCGAAUGGAACCAGUGCUUCUUGGCAAGAUUGGUGCGUGCUAAUGUGAUUGCCUGCUGCUUCAGCGCAAGCGUGGUAGUGGGUUUUGAUCAGGACGUGCGUGUUGUUUCUUGCCUUGUGUGUCAACGUCAGUUCUCGAUCGAGGAAAACGCCAGGGACAUGGUAGCUCGUCUUCGGGUGAGUGAAUGUGCUUGGUUGAACUCAUUUGUGAACUGGUUCUUGCGUGUCUGGUUGCAGUGCAUUGUGUCUUCACACCCCUGGGGUGGGUUUCGAUCUUCCGCAGGUGGGGUGGGCGACCGGUGCAUCUCCCUGACACAUCGACGCUGACUAAAUGGUUCUAUUCGACCCGUCUUGAAACACGGGACCAAAGG
rnacentral:rRNA from 1 species